AUUGAACGCUGGCGGCAUGCCUUACACAUGCAAGUCGAACGGUAACGCGGGGCAACCUGGCGACGAGUGGCGAACGGGUGAGUAAUACAUCGGAACGUGCCCAGUAGUGGGGGAUAGCCCGGCGAAAGCCGGAUUAAUACCGCAUACGACCUACGGGUGAAAGCAGGGGAUCGCAAGACCUUGCGCUAUUGGAGCGGCCGAUGUCAGAUUAGGUUGUUGGUGGGGGUAAAAAGCCUACCAAGCCGACGAUCUGUAGCUGGUCUGAGAGGACGACCAGCCACACUGGGACUGAGACACGGCCCAGACUCCUACGGGAGGCAGCAGUGGGGAAUUUUGGACAAUGGGCGCAAGCCUGAUCCAGCCAUGCCGCGUGCGGGAAGAAGGCC
rnacentral:rRNA from 1 species